rnacentral:rRNA from 1 species
AGGCCUUUUGGUUGUAAAGCACUUUAAGCAGUGAAGAAGACUCUUCGGUUAAUACCCGGGGACGAUGACAUUAGCUGCAGAAUAAGCACCGGCUAACUCUGUGCCAGCAGCCGCGGUAAUACAGAGGGUGCAAGCGUUAAUCGGAAUUACUGGGCGUAAAGCGAGCGUAGGUGGCUUGAUAAGUCAGAUGUGAAAUCCCCGGGCUUAACCUGGGAACUGCAUCUGAAACUGUUAGGCUAGAGUAGGUGAGAGGGAAGUAGAAUUUCAGGUGUAGCGGUGAAAUGCGUAGAGAUCUGAAGGAAUACCGAUGGCGAAGGCAGCUUCCUGGCAUCAUACUGACACUGAGGCUCGAAAGCGUGGGUAGCAAACAGGAUUAGAUACCCUGGUAGUCCACGCCGUAAACGAUGUCUACUAGUCGUUGGGUCCCUUGAGGACUUAGUGACGCAGCUAACGCAAUAAGUAGACCGCCUGGGGAGUACGGCCGCAAGGUUAAAACUCAAAUGAAUUGACGGGGGCCCGCACAAGCGGUGGAGCAUGUGGUUUAAUUCGAUGCAACGCGAAGAACCUUACCUGGUCUUGACAUACACAGAAUCUUGUAGAGAUACGAGAGUGCCUUCGGGAAUUGUGAUACAGGUGCUGCAUGGCUGUCGUCAGCUCGUGUCGUGAGAUGUUGGGUUAAGUCCCGCAACGAGCGCAACCCUUGUCCUUAGUUACCAGCAC